rnacentral:rRNA from 1 species
CCUACGGGAGGCAGCAGUGGGGAAUAUUGGGCAAUGGGCGCAAGCCUGACCCAGCAACGCCGCGUGAAGGAAGAAGGCUUUCGGGUUGUAAACUUCUUUUCUCAGGGACGAAGAAAUUGACGGUACCUGAGGAAUAAGCCACGGCUAACUACGUGCCAGCAGCCGCGGUAAUACGUAGGUGGCAAGCGUUAUCCGGAUUUAUUGGGUGUAAAGGGCGUGUAGGCGGGAGCGCAAGUCAGAUGUGAAAACUCAGGGCUCAACCCUGAGCCUGCAUUUGAAACUGUGUUUCUUGAGUGCAGGAGGGGCAGGCGGAAUGCCUGGUGUAGCGGUGAAAUGCGUAGAUAUCAGGAGGAACACCGGUGGCGAAGGCGGCCUGCCGGACUGCAACUGACGUUGAGGCCCGAAAGCGUGGGGAGCAAACAGGAUUAGAUACCCCUGUAGUC